rnacentral:rRNA from 1 species
AACGAACGCUGGCGGCAUGCCUAACACAUGCAAGUCGAACGAGACCUUCGGGUCUAGUGGCGCACGGGUGCGUAACGCGUGGGAACCUGCCCUUAGGUUCGGAAUAACUCCCCGAAAGGGGUGCUAAUACCGGAUAAUGUCUUCGGACCAAAGAUUUAUCGCCUUUGGAUGGGCCCGCGUUGGAUUAGCUAGUUGGUAGGGUAAAAGCCUACCAAGGCGACGAUCCAUAGCUGAUCUGAGAGGAUGAUCAGCCACACUGGGACUGAGACACGGCCCAGACUCCGACGGGAGGCAGCAGUGGGGAAUAUUGGACAAUGGGCGAAAGCCUGAUACAGCAAUGCCGGGUGAGUGAUGAAGGCCUUAGGGUUGUAAAGCUCUUUUAGCCGGGAUGAUAAUGACAGUACCGGGAGAAUAAGCACCGGCUAACUACGUG